UAAUACGUAGGUGGCAAGCGUUGUCCGGAGUUACUGGGUGUAAAGGGCGUGUAGGCGGGUUAAUAAGUCAGAUGUGAAAUUCCAUGGCUCAACUGUGGCGCUGCAUCUGAAACUAUUAAUCUUGAGUGAUGGAGAGGAAAGCGGAAUUCCUAGUGUAGCGGUGAAAUGCGUAGAUAUUAGGAGGAACACCAGUGGCGAAGGCGGCUUUCUGGACAUUAACUGACGCUGAGGCGCGAAAGCGUGGGGAGCAAACAGGAUUAGAUACCCUGGUAGUCCACGCUGUAAACGAUGGAUACUAGGUGUAGGAGGUAUCGACCCCUUCUGUGCCGGAGUUAACACAAUAAGUAUCCCACCUGGGGAGUACGGCCGCAAGGUUG
rnacentral:rRNA from 1 species